UCCACAUGAGUACGGCGUUUCACC
rnacentral:siRNA from 1 species